UCAUCCUUUUCUAAGGAAAUUUGUCUUGGUUUUCUUCUAUAGCCCAAACAUUUCUACUCAUGUCAAGCAUUUGGAGGCAGUAUUUCAAGUUUUUAGGCAGCAAAGGUUGUAUGAUAAGAUGUCUAAGUGUGCUUUUGCUCAAAGACAAGUUGAGUAUUUGGGGCAUGUCAUAUCUGGAAAUGGAGUGGCUACUGAUCCUAAUAAAAUCAAAGCUAUGGUGACUUGGCCUGUGCCACAGAAUGUUAAAGAAUUGAGAAGUUUUCUUGGCCUCACUGGUUAUUAUAGAAAAUUUAUCCAUCACUAUGGCUCUAUUAGCUGACUGAAUUGUUAAAAAAAGAUUCAUUUCAGUGGAAUUCAGCAGCUCAAGGUGCUUUUGAUCACCUUAAAAUUGCAAUGUCUCUAGCUCCAGUCCUUGCACUUCCUGAUUUUACAAAGCCAUUCAUUGUCGAAACAGAUGCUAGCAGUUUUGGUAUGGGGGCAGUGUUGCAACACCAGAGACAUCCAAUUGCUUUCAUUUCAAUGGCAUUUGGACCAAGAAAUAAGG
rnacentral:misc_RNA from 1 species